CCUGCCUAGAUGGAUGCCCAUCC
rnacentral:miRNA from 1 species